rnacentral:rRNA from 1 species
UACGAAGGGGGCUAGCGUUGCUCGGAAUCACUGGGCGUAAAGGGUGCGUAGGCGGGUCUUUAAGUCAGGGGUGAAAUCCUGGAGCUCAACUCCAGAACUGCCUUUGAUACUGGAGGGCUUGAGUGCGGGAGAGGGAUGUGGAAUUCCAGGUGUAGCGGUGAAAUGCGUAGAUAUCUGGAGGAACACCGGUGGCGAAGGCGGCAUCCUGGACCGACACUGACGCUGAGGCGCGAAAGCUAGGGUAGCAAACGGG